rnacentral:rRNA from 1 species
UACGGAGGGUGCAAGCGUUAAUCGGAAUUACUGGGCGUAAAGGGUGCGUAGGUGGUUGUGUAAGUUAUCUGUGAAAUCCCCGGGCUCAACCUGGGCAGGUCAGAUAAUACUGCAUAACUCGAGUGUGGGAGAGGGUAGUGGAAUUUCCGGUGUAGCGGUGAAAUGCGUAGAGAUCGGAAGGAACACCAGUGGCGAAGGCGGCUACCUGGCCCAACACUGACACUGAGGCACGAAAGCGUGGGGAGCAAACAGGAUUAGAUACCCUGGUAGUCCACGCCGUAAACGAUGUCAACUAGCUGUUGGAUAUAUGAAUAUAUUUAGUGGCGCAGCAAACGCGAUAAGUUGACCGCCUGGGGAGUACGGUCGCAAGAUUAAA